rnacentral:rRNA from 1 species
UUGAAUAAGCCACGGCUAACUACGUGCCAGCAGCCGCGGUAAUACGUAGGUGGCGAGCGUUGUCCGGAAUUAUUGGGCGUAAAGAGCAUGUAGGCGGUUUUUUAAGUCUGGAGUGAAAAUGCGGGGCUCAACCCCGUAUGGCUCUGGAUACUGGAAGACUUGAGUGCAGGAGAGGAAAGGGGAAUUCCCAGUGUAGCGGUGAAAUGCGUAGAUAUUGGGAGGAACACCAGUGGCGAAGGCGCCUUUCUGGACUGUGUCUGACGCUGAGAUGCGAAAGCCAGGGUAGCGAACGGGAUUAGAUACCCCGGUAGUCCUGGCCGUAAACGAUGGGUACUAGGUGUAGGAGGUAUCGACCCCUUCUGUGCCGGAGUUAACGCAAUAAGUACCCCGCCUGGGGAGUACGUCCGCAAGGAUGAAACUCAAAGGAAUUGACGGGGGCCCGCACAAGCGGUGGAGUAUGUGGUUUAAUUCGAAGCAACGCGAAGAACCUUACCAGGCCUUGACAUCCCUUGCAGAGGUAUAGAGAUAUAUCCGAGGUUAUCAAGGAGACAGGUGGUGCAUGGUUGUCGUCAGCUCGUGUCGUGAGAUGUUGGGUUAAGUCCCGCAACGAGCGCAACCCCUAUCCUAUGUUACCAGCGGGUAAUGCCGGGGACUCAUAGGAGACUGCCAAGGACAACUUGGAGGAAGGCGGGGAUGACGUCAAGUCAUCAUGCCCCUUAUGUCUUGGGCUACACACGUACUACAAUGGUCGGCAACAGAGGGAAGCGAAGCCGUGAGGCAGAGCAAACCCCAGAAACCCGAUCUCAGUUCGGAUUGCAGGCUGCAACUCGCCUGCAUGAAGUCGGAAUCGCUAGUAAUCGCAGGUCAGCAUACUGCGGUGAAUACGUUCCCGGGCCUUGUACACACCGCCCGUCACACCACGAAAGUUGGUAACACCCGAAGCCGGUGGGGUAACCGUAAGGAGCCAGCCGUCUAAGGUGGGGCCGAUGAUUGGGGUGAAGUCGUAACAAGGUAGCCGUAUCGGAAGGUGCGGCUG